UGUCCUGUAGCUCAGUGGUUAGAGCACUCGCCUCUUAAGCGAGAGACCUGGGUUCGAUUCCCCGGGCAGGGCAA